rnacentral:rRNA from 1 species
UAUCUCUGUAGAGUCUGCAUAUCAAUAAGCGGAGGAAAAGAAACUAACUAGGAUUCCCUCAGUAACGGCGAGUGAAGCGGGAAGAGCUCAAAUUUGAAAUCUUCAAGGUUCUACCUUGACGAAUUGUAGUUUAAAGAAGUGUUUUCUGUUGGAGUUUUGGUAAAAGUUCUUUGGAAUAGGACAUCAUAGAGGGUGAGAAUCCCGUAUUUGACCAUUAUUUCCAGCUUUGUGAUACACUUUCAAAGAGUCGGAUUGUUUGGGAAUGCAGUCCAAAAUGGGUGGUAAAUUUCAUCUAAAGCUAAAUAUUGGCGAGAGACCGAUAGCGAACAAGUACCGUGAGGGAAAGAUGAAAAGAACUUUGAAAAGAGAGUUAAACAGUACGUGAAAUUGUCAAAAGGGAAGCGUUUGACACCAGUGUUGUUUUCUCGAAAAUCAAUUAAAAAAGGCAGGAUUUUGUGUUGUAUUGACUUUAUCAGCUUUCUGCACUCUUUUCUUGUCUUUUUUAAUGCACUUUUCGUUUAACAAGAUCAACAUCAAUUUCUUUUGUUGUAAAAGGGUCAUUGGAAGGUGGCUUUCUUUUCGGAGAAAGUGUUUAUAGCCUUUGGCCUCUGCAAUCGGAGAGAUUGAGGUCUGCAGCGUAGAUCCUUCGGGGUUAGAUACAUCUGUGCUAAGUUAUAGCCUUUCAUAGACAACUUGUUGACUAUGAUCAGUCAUGUAGCUUACUCGCUUAUGCUAUUUUACCUACGCUUAGGAUGUUGACGAUCAGCUGAGCGCG